AUUUGGAGAAGCAACCAAGACGCCAUGAUGCUACCACCACCACGCUUUCACUGUGGCUGUGGAAAUGGAACAAAAGUGUCAGGAAUAUUUGUCAGAACUUUUACCUCAGAUGUUUUGCUAAAUUACUCAGAAAAGACUUCAUAAGAGUAAAAUCACAACGUAAUGACACUUAGCAUCGUCUGCUAACUGAACUUCCAUGUUUUCCUCCAUUCUGAAAAUGAAGUCUUGUGAAUCCGAGAUUUUUAUUUAUUUGUUUAUUUUUAUCCGAAGGUGAAGUUCCACUUGUAUGCAAACGUAAACCCUAAAUUUAACCCUAAACAUGGCCAUGCCUAACUUAAGACACAGAUGAAGAGUCCAUGAAACACUGAACACUGAUGAACACUGAUGAAGAGUCCAAAACACUGCCUCAUUUUUAUUUAUUUAUUUCUAUUAACAGGUGAAAGAGAUGGAGAUGAUGGAGAAGCGUGUCAAGCCUCUUUGUCUCUUUUUGAUGUUCGGUGAGGUGUUCGCUCUGGGCGAAGUCUCAGGUACCCCAGUUUAGGGUUGGGAUGGUAGCAGAACCUGUGGUUGGAAUUGUAGAUGUAUAAAGAACACAUACAUAGGGUCACAGGGAACCUGGAGCCUAUCCCAGGGAGCAUCGGGCACAAGGCGGGGUACACCCUGGACAGGAUGCCGGUCAAUAUUGAUUCAGCGCAAUCAAAACAUUUUCCUGUUUUUCAUUUACAUUAUUAACAUAAAUGACUGUACAGUUUACAGUAUAUGAGGUACCUGCUGGACUGGACUGGAUAUUAUGGAGUGACUAAUCU
ensembl:lncRNA